UGGUUAUCCCCCCUCUAAGACCUGUGAGUACAAUAAACUGCUUCCUUGAAGAAGAAGAGCCUCAUUCUCAUUCCUUCCUGUGGCUACACCAGCUUGACCAUACUAUCUCCAACACUUAGAUUCUCAGAACAGGCCACUUUCUCAGAAAGAAAGUGAGUGGAGCAUGAAGGAGAAAACCAUGAAAAAGGAACUCACGGAAUCCAAGAAACAGGAGAUCCAGCCCAGGAAAGAGGCAAGAGAAGGUGCCGCCGCAGCAGCUGCCCAGCAGGCCUGGAGAGGAAUCAGUCCCAACCAAAGCAGAAGAACAGAGAACUGCAAGGUAAACUCUACACUCAUUGUCGGGCUUACACUCAUGACCCAGAGAUCAAGAGUCGCAUGCUCUACUGAGUGAGCCAGCCAGGA